ensembl:lncRNA
GAAAAGUCGAGGAUAACACGAAAGGUUUUGGUAAAAAAAAAAAAACUGGAACAAGACAAGGGAGACUGGGGGAAGAUCAUGAGUUUAUUUUUGAACACUUUGAGUUUAUGAUAUCGUAAAGAUAUUCAAUAGGAAAGGUCUCAACGGUUGGGCCAUGUAGCAGUAUGGAAUUCAAGGGAGGAAUCUGGACUGGAAAUAUGAAUUUGGAACUCAACAGAAUAGAUGUGGUCUUUCAAACAAUGACACUAGAUGAAAACACCAAGGACCUGAGAGAAAAUAGACAGACAAGGACCUCAAGGUUCAGAGAUCAGGAAGGUAAGGAGGAACCAGCAGAGGAAACUGAGAGGGAAAAAUAUUUGAGAUAAGAGUUAAUCCAAAAAUGUCCUGGAAGAUAACAAAUAGUGUCUCAAGGAAGAGGGAGUGAUAAACUGUAUCAAAUACAGGAAUCAGUCAACUAUCACUGACAGACAAGUAAGAUGAUGACUGAGGAAAGACCAUAGGAUUCAGCAAUGCAGACAUCUUGGAUUAUCCUGACAAGAUCAUUUUCAAACUUUGGAGUAAUAUGGACAAAAGCCUAAUUGUAGCAAGUCUAAGAGAAUAAGAAAAAAGAAGUUGGUGUGGAUGACUGUGGACAACUUUUUUGAGUAAUUGCUUUUGCUAUAAAGAUAGCUACCUAUUGAUCAAAGGCCAUGGUAAAAAGAAUUGUGGACUCCAGAGCAUGGAUAGAAUGGACACAAACCAUCAGGGCCAGGCAUCCACCAAAGGAAAUCUCUCCAGCACAGAGCCACAAAAUGGCCAGUGGAGCUGAGAGCCAGAAACAUCUCACCUGCCUAAAGAGAUAAUCUUGGAUGCAGGGACCAUGCAGUUGCUAAUACCUUGGCACAGGAUCUAGCUGUGGCCUGUACUCUGGAUUGACGCCCUGAGUCUGGCUUGCUUGAUGGAAGAGGGGAAGCAUACUUCUAGGAUCCCAGGAUACUGCCCUGCCCAUCGCCAUCACGUCACCCCGGCAACUCUAACUCUUCCCUGAGACCAAACAUGCAUCGCUGAUCUCAGAAAUUCAGACCAACAUCCUGCUGCUACAGGGAAAUGAAGAGAAAACUGUGCACCAAACUCAUUGCUGGGAAGUGAGGUCCUCGAAGUGUUUUAUCCACAGUCCCUGACCUCCACAACCUUCAGGUCUCUAAGUUCGUGUUGCAUCAGAGCACAAUUAAGUCACGGUAACUAGAUCAGAGACGUCUAUCCUCCCUGGCCCCCAGGAAGCAGGAGAUUCAGCUGUUUCUCAUCUCAGGCUCAAUUGAUGCCUCGGGCUUGCUCUGAAUUGUUAGUCCCUCAUUUCCUCCAAAGUUAUUCUCCCAAUAUGUUCCCUCUUCUCUGUUUCAUCAGCUUUUAUCCUGCCACAUGGUUACAUAUAGCCACUGGUCCUCUGGAACAUGCCUCAUCUGCCUACACUAUGUGUCACCUCAAUGAUAGACCAGAGUUUUAGAGAAGAGAAUAGAUAUAUUGGGAAGGUAUUGAUGACUUGCACUAAAACAUAAGGACCACAGAAUUCAGAGUAGGAAUGGG